UACGGGGGGGGCAAGCGUUGUUCGGAAUUACUGGGCGUAAAGGGCCAGUAGGCGGCCAACUAAGUCCGACGUGAAAUCCCAAGGCUUAACCUUGGAACUGCGUCGGAUACUGGAUGGCUUGAAUUCGGGAGAGGGAUGCAGAAUUCCAGGUGUAGCGGUGAAAUGCGUAGAUAUCUGGGGGAAUACCGGUGGCGAAGGCGGCAUCCUGGACCGACAUUGACGCUGAACGGCGAAAGCUAGGGGAGCAAACGGG
rnacentral:rRNA from 1 species